rnacentral:tRNA from 1 species
GCGGCCAUCGUAUAGUGGUAGUACCUUAGCCUUCCAAGCUAUUGGCGCGGGUUCGAUUCCCGCUGGCCGCU